rnacentral:tRNA from 1 species
GCGUCUUUGGCUGAGCGGUCAAAAGCAGCGGACUGUAAAUCCGCCGGAAUUUCCUACGCAGGUUCGAAUCCUGCAGGGCGCAACA